rnacentral:rRNA from 1 species
CAGCCGCCGCGGUAAGACAGAGGAUGCAAGCGUUAUCCGGAAUGAUUGGGCGUAAAGCGUCUGUAGGUGGCUUUUCAAGUCCGCCAUCAAAUCCCAGGGCUCAACCCUGGACAGGCGGUGGAAACUACGAAGCUGGAGUAUGGUAGGGGCAGAGGGAAUUUCCGAUGGAGCGGUGAAAUGCGUUGAGAUCAGAAAGAACACCAAUGGUGAAAGCACUCUUCUGGGUCAACAUUGACACUGAGAGAUGAAAGCUAGGGGAGCAAAUGGGAUUAGAUACCCCCGUAGUCCCUGUCUCUUAUAA